rnacentral:lncRNA from 1 species
CCCAGAACCAGGCCAAACAAGCCAUCAAUCGUGAGGAACCUGGCAGCUCUGAGCACAUGAUCCGAGGAGGAAAACAGAACGUCCUGGAGGGAAACGCCACAGCUUGCGGGGGGAGGAGGAGAGAGACGCUAAGCUCCCUAGGCCGCUCCCCAGGCCUCCUUUGUGCUUUUUCCACACGCGCACCAUGCGCAGACAUGCGCACCCAUGCGCCGUGCGAGAGCAAAAAAGUCCCCUGACUUCGCGGUGACCUUUGUGGGAAUUUCAGCAGGGUGAAAGUCACUCGGAUUAGAGGAGCAGAAAUUGCUGGCGUUUGCUUGCUGGUAUGCGCGAGCGCAUGCCCCACCCCACACCCCUGGCAGGCCUGCCAAAGGGGGUGGGUUGGGGGGUGGAGCAGGGAGAAAAGACGCCCAGAAACAAGGCAGUGCUCCAAAGUUGUGCAUUAUUUUGUUUUUCAAGCAUUGUGGGCGGGAGCAAACUGGCACCAAUUAUGGGAAGCGAUUUGUCAUCUCGUCCCACCGCUUUGCACCAAUAGGAAGACGUUCCCUUCUUCCUCUUCAGGGUCAGAGUUAAGCAUAUUUGUCAACAGAAUAAUAAUCACGUUUGUUUUUGCUUGGGGUUUUUUUUUGGGGGGGUGAAGAUUUUUAAACUCAUUUCGUUGUAUGUAUAAAACAGAGAAGACCUAAUAGCAGGAGAAAAAUUAAAGAGAAACAAAACUAUAAAACAACCACAUUGAACGAGUAGGGAUUAGGGUUAGAACUUUUUUACUUUUCUCCCAAAAAAUGAUUUCCUGUAUCCUCAGGGGAUAAACUUUUGCUUAGAAACACUCAAAAACAGGGACUGGUUCUUCUCAGCUGUGAAACAAGGUCACCCUGAAAUGAAAAAUUGGAAUCACCAUAUACAGUAUGUCACAUUACUACUCAUAAAGUAUCAGUAUUUUUGAAAACUUGAUGGAACUGUUUAGAACUUUUACAGCUGUAAAAGAACUUUCAAAAGCAUUGGAGAAUCUCUCUUAACACCUGGAAGCAGGAGCAGGGCCAGAUUUCGGUUUGAUGAGGCCCUCAGCUACUGAAGGUAAUGGAGCCCUUUAUAUGUCCAGCUGUCCUUUGUCAACAACAAAUUGUCGCUGUUUUUUGUGUUGAAUAUAUGCUAUAAGUUAAUUUAUGGACCUAUUAGGUAUAUAAAGCCAUUUGCCACAGUUGCUGUAUGUAGGUUUUAUUUAAUUUGUUUUUUAUCUUAUAUUUUGGAAAUGGACAUCCAGUUUUUUCCCCUUUAAUUUUUUGGGGGCCCCCAAAGAGAGUGGGGCCCUAAGCUAUAGCUUGUUUAGCAGCCCUCUGAACUCCAGAUCCCAGGAUGUGAUCCAUGCGCAGAACGCGCAACCAAAGUGAUGCAGGAACUUUUUGGUGCUUGCAGCAGAAACCAAGACCAACUGCAACCUCGAUUUAUUCUUAGCAAUAAGAAGAGGUGUGCGAUGUACAAGCACUGGAAAGUUUGCAAGCUAAAUUUUUCCUUCGUCAUAAUACAUGUCGUGCAUAUGACGUAAUAUGUUAUACAGUUACAUAGACAAAAUUUGAUUUAUUGUUUUCGGGGUGACUUUGUUUUUUUGCAAAAGAGUUUGCUUUUAGGCAAAAGUUCAUCUAACUAAGCUACAGGAACGUGAGGUUGUAAAAAAGUUAUAAACCUAAUUGCCACCUAUCAGGGAUGGUUCAGCUGGGAUUCCUGAAGUGCACAGCAUUGGACUUUUUUUAAAAAAAUAUUUUUUAUUAAGAAUUUAAGCAUAACAAAUUAUCAAAACAUUCCCCCCCAUUUUUCCCUCCCCCCUCCCCAGAAGAAACCCCCCUCCCUCUCCGCCCCAAGACUUCCCUCAGCAACUCUCUCUGGUUUUCUCAACACAUGUUAUUCUCUGCAUAUUGUAAAAUUGUAAAGAUCCUUAAAUUAUCUGUCUAUUAUGUUAACAAUCAAUAAAUUUGUGUUAUGUUCAUUCAAAACCUGCCAAGGAGUCCAAUUCAUUUUGUUUGUUUUUUUAAGAAGUUUGUAAAACGUUCCCAUUCUUCUUUAAAGUCACAGUUGUCUCGCAGUUCGUACGUCAAUUUCCCCAAUUCUGCAUAGUCCAUCAGUUUCUCUUGCCACUGUUCUUUUGUCGGGAUUUCCUCAUUCUUCCAUCCUUGCGCUAUUAAGACUCUUGCCGCUGUUGUCACGUACAUAAAUAAAUUAUUUAUUUUCCUUGGCAGGUCUUGCACAGGGUUGGACUUGAAGGCCCUUGGAGGUCCCUCCCAACCCUACAAUUCUAAGAACCGGGAAAGGGUUGCGAAAUGGGGACUCCUGCACUCCCUGGCCUCUCCUCUCCCUCCCCUUCCCGGCUCUACCUCCGGCCAAAUCCUGACCGGCCACACGCUGUUCCUGGUGUCCGGUGACCAAGGGACAGCUGUCGGACAUGGCUGGGGUUUGGACGGGAGACAAGGAUGGUGCAUGGGGCACAUCAACAAGGGGGGCGAAAGGGAGACGGGGUGAGUCAUCUCCAUGGCAGAUGUUCACUGUGAGAGCGGGGAGGACGCAGCACAUCGCAGGUAAAAACAGGAGGGCUUCUAACACCGCCCCUAUGCUCGUAUCCAGGGUCGUCUCCGCCUAAACUGCUCUUGCGCAUCGCUAGAGACUCUCCUGCACAUGAAGCUGUCUUAUCCUGAGUCAGAACACUGGGCUGUCCAUGUGAUGACUCUGCAUGGUGCUAGUCCACAUGGGGUCCAAAGAGCUGGCUUAAGGAGGAAGCAACCUGCCAGCAAGCCAGGCCACGGGUCUUCUUGGCUCUGUAUUAUUCUCACUGGCUGGCAACGGCUCUCCAGGGUUCAUUUGGGGCUCACUGUGGUCCAUGGAGGCGCAGGUCAAUUCUGCGUGCAAGGAGGCUGCCAAGGAGGCUGCCAAAGGAGGCUGCAAGGAGGCUACCAAACUGGGAGGGGUGGCUAACACCCCAGAGGACAGGAUCACACUUCAAAACGACCUUGACAGAUUAGAGAACUGGGCCAAAACAAACAAGAUGAAUUUUAACAGGGAGAAAUGUAAAGUAUUGCACUUGGGCAAAAAAA